AGUUGGUGGAGUGAUUUGUCUGGUUAAUUCCGAUAACGAACGAGACCUUAACCUGCUAAAUAGACCCGACUACCCCGGUAGUUAGGGUCUUCUUAGAGGGACUAACUGCGUUUAGCAGUUGGAAGUUUGAGGCAAUAACAGGU
rnacentral:rRNA from 1 species